rnacentral:rRNA from 1 species
UACGUAGGGUGCGAGCGUUAAUCGGAAUUACUGGGCGUAAAGCGUGCGCAGGCGGUUCGUUAAGCCAGCUGUGAAAGCCCCGGGCUCAACCUGGGAAUUGCGGUUGAAACUGGCGGACUAGAAUCUGGCAGAGGGGGGUGGAAUUCCACGUGUAGCAGUGAAAUGCGUAGAGAUGUGGAGGAACACCGAUGGCGAAGGCAGCCCCCUGGGCUGAGAUUGACGCUCAGGCACGAAAGCGUGGGGAGCAAACAGG